rnacentral:rRNA from 1 species
AGAGUUUGAUCAUGGCUCAGAGCGAACGCUGGCGGCAUGCCUAACACAUGCAAGUCGCACGGCCGGGCAACCGGCAGUGGCGGACGGGUGCGUAACGCGUAGGAACCUGUCCUGAGGUGGGGGACAACCCUGGGAAACUAGGGCUAAUACCGCAUGACACCUGAGGGUCAAAGGCGCGAGUCGCCUUGGGAGGGGCCUGCGUCCGAUUAGCUUGUUGGUGGGGUAAUGGCCUACCAAGGCUGCGAUCGGUAGCUGGUCUGAGAGGAUGAUCAGCCACACUGGGACUGAGACACGGCCCAGACUCCUACGGGAGGCAGCAGUGGGGAAUAUUGGACAAUGGGCGAAAGCCUGAUCCAGCAAUGCCGCGUGGGUGAAGAAGGUCUUCGGAUUGUAAAGCCCUUUCGGCGGGGACGAUGAUGACGGUACCCGCAGAAGAAGCCCCGGCUAACUUCGUGCCAGCCGCCGCGGUAAUUC